GCGUGUCGUUCCAAUCUUGUACUUUGAACUACGAUUAUGUGAUUUGCUGGUUUUGUGUGGUGUUGUAUUUGUUGUGUUACGUUUCCUUUGUCGUCCGUCAGCGUGUUGCUUCCCGUGUUUCUCCCAUUUCCUUUCUGCUCGGGGGUGCGGAAUGCCAGGGAAUGUUUGGCACGUUUGUUUAUGUAACUACCUUAAUAUGCUUGGGUAUAAACAUUAUGCUUUGCACAGGAAGUUUAGAUAUGACUGGUUAUGACACGAAAUGCCGAACGGCACUAAAGCACUUCCAAAGGACUAGAAUGAUAUGUGAUAUAAAGGCUAUAUGACGGUAAAAACAUACCGACUAGAAAUAUGUGCACUGGGGAAAUAAAUGGCGGUAAAGACAGUUCAAAAUGACUAGAGGUAGAGUGAAUAAGUCAUAAAAAGGCUAAGUAGCAAGGUCUUGUGGUGAAAGUUCCAACAUCAAAGUAUCACAAGUCCAGUUGCAACAGCAAGUUUGAAGCAGUCAAGCAGCUGAGGCCUGGCUGUCACCUUCUCUGUAUAUUCUUUGGCAAGGUGGUACAGUCCGAUACUGCUGUAGCACUGGGAAACUUCUUUGAUCAGACGGAUCACAUUGUUUUCAUUUGGGCUGCAUUCAAACAUGUGUUGUCGCAAGCUUAAGCAGCGAGAAUAAAGAGUAGACAUUCGA